rnacentral:rRNA from 1 species
CUGCGAAUGGCUCAUUAAAUCAGUUAUCGUUUAUUUGAUAGUACCUUACUACUUGGAUAACCGUGGUAAUUCUAGAGCUAAUACAUGCUAAAAACCCCAACUUCGGGAGGGGUGUAUUUAUUAGAUAAAAAACCAACGCCCUUCGGGGCUCCUUGGUGAAUCAUAAUAACUUAACGGAUCGCAUGGCCUUGCGCCGGCGACGGUUCAUUCAAAUUUCUGCCCUAUCAACUUUCGAUUGUAGGGUAUUGGCCUACAAUGGUAUCAACGGGUAACGGGGAAUUAGGGUUCGAUUCCGGAGAGGGAGCCUGAGAAACGGCUACCACAUCCAAGGAAGGCAGCAGGCGCGCAAAUUACCCAAUCCCGACACGGGGAGGUAGUGACAAUAAAUACUGAUACAGGGCUCUUUUGGGUCUUGUAAUUGGAAUGAGUACAAUUUAAAUCCCUUAACGAGGAACAAUUGGAGGGCAAGUCUGGUGCCAGCAGCCGCGGUAAUUCCAGCUCCAAUAGCGUAUAUUAAAGUUGUUGCAGUUAAAAAGCUCGUAGUUGAACCUUGGGCCUGGCUGGCCGGUCCGCCUCACCGCGUGCACUGGUCCGGCCGGGCCUUUCCUUCUGGAGAGCCGCAUGCCCUUCACUGGGUGUGUCGGGGAACCAGGACUUUUACUUUGAAAAAAUUAGAGUGUUCAAAGCAGGCCUUUGCUCGAAUACAUUAGCAUGGAAUAAUAGAAUAGGACGUGCGGUUCUAUUUUGUUGGUUUCUAGGACCGCCGUAAUGAUUAAUAGGGAUAGUCGGGGGCAUCAGUAUUCAAUUGUCAGAGGUGAAAUUCUUGGAUUUAUUGAAGACUAACUACUGCGAAAGCAUUUGCCAAGGAUGUUUUCAUUAAUCAGUGAACGAAAGUUAGGGGAUCGAAGACGAUC